rnacentral:rRNA from 1 species
AUUGAACGCUGGCGGCAGGCCUAACACAUGCAAGUCGAGCGGGGUUUUCGGACCUAGCGGCGGACGGGUGAGUAAUGCGUAGGAAGCUGCCCGAUAGAGGGGGAUACCAGUUGGAAACGACUGUUAAUACCGCAUAAUGUCUACGGACCAAAGUGUGGGACCUUCGGGCCACAUGCUAUCGGAUGCGCCUACGUGGGAUUAGCUAGUUGGUGGGGUAAAGGCUCACCAAGGCGACGAUCCCUAGCUGGUUUGAGAGGAUGAUCAGCCACACUGGAACUGAGACACGGUCCAGACUCCUACGGGAGGCAGCAGUGGGGAAUAUUGGACAAUGGGCGCAAGCCUGAUCCAGCCAUGCCGCGUGUGUGAAGAAGGCCUUCGGGUUGUAAAGCACUUUCAGCGAGGAGGAAGGGAUUGUAGUUAAUAGCUGCAAUUUUUGACGUUACUCGCAGAAGAAGCACCGGCUAACUCUGUGCCAGCCGCCGCGGUAACAC